GAUGAACGCUGGCGGCGUGCCUAAUACAUGCAAGUCGAGCGAACAGACGAGGAGCUUGCUCCUUCGACGUUAGCGGCGGACGGGUGAGUAACACGUAGGUAACCUACCUAUAAGACUGGGAUAACUUCGGGAAACCGGAGCUAAUACCGGAUAAUAUUUCGAACCGCAUGGUUCUAUAGUGAAAGACGGCUUUGCUAUCACUUAUAGAUGGAUCUGCGCCGUAUUAGCUAGUUGGUAAGGUAACGGCUUACCAAGGCAACGAUACGUAGCCGACCUGAGAGGGUGAUCGGCCACACUGGAACUGAGACACGGUCCAGACUCCUACGGGAGGCAGCAGUAGGGAAUCUUCCGCAAUGGGCGAAAGCCUGACGGAGCAACGCCGCGUGAGUGAUGAAGGUCUUCGGAUCGUAAAACUCUGUUAUUAGGGAAGAACAAACGUGUAAGUAACUGUGCACGUCUUGACGGUACCUAAUCAGAAAGCCACGGCUAACUACGUG
rnacentral:rRNA from 1 species